GACGAACGCUGGCGGCGUGCUUAACACAUGCAAGUCGAACGGAAAGGCCCUGCUUUUGUGGGGUGCUCGAGUGGCGAACGGGUGAGUAACACGUGAGUAACCUGCCCUUGACUUUGGGAUAACUUCAGGAAACUGGGGCUAAUACCGGAUAGGAGCUCCUGCUGCAUGGUGGGGGUUGGAAAGUUUCGGCGGUUGGGGAUGGACUCGCGGCUUAUCGGCUUGUUGGUGGGGUAGUGGCUUACCAAGGCUUUGACGGGUAGCCGGCCUGAGAGGGUGACCGGACACAUUGGAACUGAGAAGCGGUCGAGACUCAUAGGGGAGGAAGGAGGAGGGACUGUUGAGCGAUGGGCGGAAGCGUGACGGAGCAACGGCGCGUGAGUGAUGAGGGUAGUCGGAUCGUAAAGAUGGGUUAGUAGGGAAGAACAAAUGUGUAAGUAAAUAUGCGCGUCUGGACGGUACCUAAUCAGAAAGACACGGCUAACUACGUG
rnacentral:rRNA from 1 species